rnacentral:rRNA from 1 species
AGUGAACGCUGGCGGCGUGCUUAACACAUGCAAGUCGAACGAGAACGGAUUAUAGCUUGCUAUAAUUGUCAGCUAAGUGGCGCACGGGUGAGUAAUGUAUAGGUAAUAUGCCUCUUACUAAGGGAUAACAAAUGGAAACGUUUGCUAAUACCUUAUACUCCUUAUUAACAGAAGUUAAUAAGGGAAAGAUUUAUUGGUAAGAGAUUAGCCUGUAUUGUAUCAGUUAGUUGGUGGGGUAAUGGCUUACCAAGACUAUGACACAUAACUGGUUUGAGAGGAUGAUCAGUCACACUGGAACUGAGACACGGUCCAGACUCCUACGGGAGGCAGCAGUGGGGAAUAUUGCACAAUGGACGAAAGUCUGAUGCAGCAACGCCGCGUCGGAGGAUGACGACAUUUCGGUGCGUUAAAACUCCUUUUAUAAUGAGAAGAUAAUGACGGUAUUAUAUGAAUAAGCACCGGCUAACUCCGUG